UGGGCUUGACAUGUCCGGAAUUCUGCAGAGAUGCGGGAGUGCCCUUCGGGAAUCGGAACAC
rnacentral:rRNA from 1 species